UACAGAGGUGGCAAGCGUUGUUCGGAAUUACUGGGCGUAAAGGGCGCGUAGGCGGCCAUUUAAGUCAGACGUGAAAUCCCCCGGCUCAACCUGGGAACUGCGUCUGAUACUGGGUGGCUUGAGUUCGGGAGAGGGAUGUGGAAUUCCAGGUGUAGCGGUGAAAUGCGUAGAUAUCUGGAGGAACACCGGUGGCGAAGGCGGCAUCCUGGGCCGAAACUGACGCUGAGGCGCGAAAGCUAGGGGAGCAAACGGG
rnacentral:rRNA from 1 species